rnacentral:rRNA from 1 species
GAUGAACGCUGGCGGCGUGCCUAAUACAUGCAAGUCGAGCGAACGGACGAGAAGCUUGCUUCUCUGAUGUUAGCGGCGGACGGGUGAGUAACACGUGGAUAACCUACCUAUAAGACUGGGAUAACUUCGGGAAACCGGAGCUAAUACCGGAUGAUAUUUUGAACCGCAUGGUUCAAAAGUGAAAGACGGCCUUGCUGUCACUUAUAGAUGGAUCCGCGCUGCAUUAGCUAGUUGGUAAGGUAACGGCUUACCAAGGCAACGAUGCAUAGCCGACCUGAGAGGGUGAUCGGCCACACUGGAACUGAGACACGGUCCAGACUCCUACGGGAGGCAGCAGUAGGGAAUCUUCCGCAAUGGGCGAAAGCCUGACGGAGCAACGCCGCGUGAGUGAUGAAGGUCUUCGGAUCGUAAAACUCUGUUAUUAGGGAAGAACAUAUGUGUAAGUAACUGUGCACAUCUUGACGGUACCUAAUCAGAAAGCCGCGGCUAACUACGUG